UUUAUUAGAAGAGACGCAUUUAUUAGAUAAAAAGCCAGUUCAUGCUUUUACAGUAUGAAAAUUGGUGAUUUAUAAUAACUUAGCAAAUCGCAAAGUGAAAACAGGCGAUAAAUCAUUCAAGUUUCUGACCUAUCAGCUUUCGACGGUAUGGUAUUGGCUUACCGUGGCAGUGACGGUUAACGGGGGAUUAGGGUUCGAUUCCGGAGAGGGAGCCUGAGAAACGGCUACCACAUCUAAGGAAGGCAGCAGGCGCGCAAAUUACCCAAUUCUAACAGUUUGAGAGAGGUAGUAACAAGAAAUAACAAUUCAAGGCAGUUAAAAUGCUUUGUAAUUGGAAUGAUAGAAAUUUAAACCCUUUUUAAAGUAUCAAUUGGAGGGCAAGUCUGGUGCCAGCAGCCGCGGUAAUUCCAGCUCCAAUAGCGUAUAUUAAAAUUGUUGCAGUUAAAAAGCUCGUAGUUGAAGUUCUGCUGAAAGUAACCGGUCUGCUUUUAAUAAAAGUGGUAUCUUGGUAUGUAUUUAGCAAUGAUGUCCUUUGAAGUGUUUUUUACUUUAUUGUAAUAAAGCAUAUUCAGG
rnacentral:rRNA from 1 species